rnacentral:sRNA from 1 species
AUCUAGCCCCGAUGGAAGCGGUAUCUCCCGAUUUAGAAAAACAAGGCUAUUUCAGCCGUAGUUUUUGUUGAUCGGGAAUUUAGCGGACAGCGGGAGUAAAA